UUUAAAGAGAGUUUGAUCCUGGCUCAGGACGAACGCUGGCGGCGUGCCUAAUACAUGCAAGUCGAACGAACGGAGGAAGAGCUUGCUCUUCCAAAGUUAGUGGCGGACGGGUGAGUAACACGUGGGCAACCUGCCUGUAAGUUGGGGAUAACUCCGGGAAACCGGGGCUAAUACCGAAUGAUAAAGUGUGGCGCAUGCCACGCUUUUGAAAGAUGGUUUCGGCUAUCGCUUACAGAUGGGCCCGCGGUGCAUUAGCUAGUUGGUAGGGUAAUGGCCUACCAAGGCAACGAUGCAUAGCCGACCUGAGAGGGUGAUCGGCCACACUGGGACUGAGACACGGCCCAGACUCCUACGGGAGGCAGCAGUAGGGAAUCUUCCGCAAUGGACGAAAGUCUGACGGAGCAACGCCGCGUGUAUGAAGAAGGUUUUCGGAUCGUAAAGUACUGUUGUUAGAGAAGAACAAGGAUAAGAGUAACUGCUUGUCCCUUGACGGUAUCUAACCAGAAAGCCACGGCUAACUACGUGCCAGCAGCCGCGGUAAUACGUAGGUGGCAAGCGUUGUCCGGAUUUAUUGGGCGUAAAGCGCGCGCAGGCGGUCUUUUAAGUCUGAUGUGAAAGCCCCCGGCUUAACCGGGGAGGGUCAUUGGAAACUGGAAGACUGGAGUGCAGAAGAGGAGAGUGGAAUUCCACGUGUAGCGGUGAAAUGCGUAGAUAUGUGGAGGA
rnacentral:rRNA from 1 species